UAUAUAUAAUAGACACGCGCAUGAGAAAUUUUUGUGCAAGAGAUCUGAAAUUUUUGUGCUACAAGCUUAGUUGAAUUAUUCUGUAUACAUAAAUUUACCCCAAGAUUAAUUAAUUGAAAAUUUUUACACCUCUAACCUUGCCUUUUGAUUACACCAUUAUAUUUUUUUUAAUAAAUAUAAUAUUCGCAAUUCAUCCCUAUAUAACAAAUUAAAUAUAUAAUCCAAUACAUUUUUUAUGAUAAAUUAUAAUUUUAAUCAUUUAUUUAUUUUUCAUUCAUUACGAGUUUUACAAAUUUAAAUUUUGUUUGUAUAUUAUGAAAAUUAAAAAUUAUAAAAUCAGCUGUUAAUAUAUGUAAAGUAAAUAAUAAUAAAGGAAUUGAGACGUGGAAUUAGUACCAUGUGCUGAUAACAACACGGAGCUGCAUAAACUGGUUGAGCUUCUUGUCAUCAGCAAAAACGGAUCCAGAUGGACCCUGUAUUUCUAUUUUCUUUUUUGGCAACUCUUUCUCUAUUUGUUCUUUCACGUCCUUGACGGUUUUGCCCUUAAACGAUGUAGGCAAACUGCCUCCAGUCGAUCCUAUGUAUUGUACUGGUACCGUGAUCUCUUGCUCCAUUAUCGCUUUUCUUCUUCUUGUUCUUCUUCUUU
rnacentral:misc_RNA from 1 species